CCUACGGGUGGCUGCAGUGGGGAAUAUUGCGCAAUGGGGGCAACCCUGACGCAGCAACGCCGCGUGAUUGAAGAAGGCCUUCGGGUUGUAAAGAUCUUUAAUCAGGGACGAAAAAUGCCGGUACCUGACGAAUAACCUCCGGCUAAAUACGUGCCAGCAGCCGCGGUAGUACGUAGGGAGCAAGCGUUAUCCGGGUUUACUGGGUGUAAAGGGGGUGUAGGCGGGCUUGUAAGUCAGAAGUGAAAUCUGGGGGCUUAACCCCAAAACUGCUUUUGAAACUGCGGGUCUUGAGUGAGGGAGAGGCAGGCGGAAUUCCCAGUGUAGCGGUGAAAUGCGUAGAUAUUGGGAGGAACACCAGUGGCGAAGGCGGCCUGCUGGACAGUAACUGACGCUGAGGCGCGAAAGCGUGGGGAGCAAACAGGAUUAGAUACCCCUGUAGUC
rnacentral:rRNA from 1 species